rnacentral:rRNA from 1 species
AUUGAACGUUGGCGGCAUGCCUUACACAUGCAAGUCGAACGGCAGCACGGGAGCUUGCUCCUGGUGGCGAGUGGCGAACGGGUGAGUAAUACAUCGGAACGUACCCUGAAGUGGGGGAUAACGUAGCGAAAGUUACGCUAAUACCGCAUAUUCUGUGAGCAGGAAAGAGGGGGAGUCGCAAGACCUCUUGCUUUAGGAGCGGCCGAUGUCGGGAUUAGCUAGUUGGUGAGGUAAAGGCUCACCAAGGCGACGAUCCGUAGCGGGUCUGAGAGGAUGAUCCGCCACACUGGGACUGAGACACGGCCCAGACUCCUACGGGAGGCAGCAGUGGGGAAUUUGGACAAUGGGCGCAAGCCUGAUCCAGCCAUGCCGCGUGAGUGAAGAAGGCC